GCCUGGCUGGCUCAGUUGGAAGAGUAUGUGACUCUUAAUCUCAGGUUCAUGAGUUUGAGCCCCACGUUGGGUG
rnacentral:tRNA from 1 species